AAGACAUCCCACUUCUGGACCAGCCUGGGCUGCAGCUUCUGCCUGGCAAAUCUGCAGGUCACACAACCUUUCAUGAAAAUAUUAGUGAAUAAGUUUCUGACAUUUGGAGAGAAAAGCAAGGCCAUUACCAUGCCAUGAAGGACAGAAGGAAGACUUAUUUGUUUUCCAAAGAAAAUUUGUAUUUUACAUCUGCUUAUUCUUCAGUCUGUGCUAUUGCAGAGAGCGCCUCCCUGAAGGCCCAUGGGCGUGGCCAGUAUAAGCAGAGCUGAAAGAUA